rnacentral:rRNA from 1 species
CGACGGGAGCUUGCUCCCUUAGGUCAGCGGCGGACGGGUGAGUAACACGUGGGUAACCUGCCUGUAAGACUGGGAUAACUCCGGGAAACCGGGGCUAAUACCGGAUGCUUGAUUGAACCGCAUGGUUCAAUCAUAAAAGGUGGCUUUUAGCUACCACUUGCAGAUGGACCCGCGGCGCAUUAGCUAGUUGGUGAGGUAACGGCUCACCAAGGCGACGAUGCGUAGCCGACCUGAGAGGGUGAUCGGCCACACUGGGACUGAGACACGGCCCAGACUCCUACGGGAGGCAGCAGUAGGGAAUCUUCCGCAAUGGACGAAAGUCUGACGGAGCAACGCCGCGUGAGUGAUGAAGGUUUUCGGAUCGUAAAACUCUGUUGUUAGGGAAGAACAAGUACCGUUCGAAUAGGGCGGUACCUUGACGGUACCUAACCAGAAAGCCACGGCUAACUACGUGCCAGCAGCCGCGGUAAUACGUAGGUGGCAAGCGUUGUCCGGAAUUAUUGGGCGUAAAGCGCGCGCAGGCGGUUUCUUAAGUCUGAUGUGAAAGCCCCCGGCUCAACCGGGGAGGGUCAUUGGAAACUGGGGAACUUGAGUGCAGAAGAGGAGAGUGGAAUUCCACGUGUAGCGGUGAAAUGCGUAGAGAUGUGGAGGAACACCAGUGGCGAAGGCGACUCUCUGGUCUGUAACUGACGCUGAGGCGCGAAAGC